rnacentral:rRNA from 1 species
GAUGAACGCUGGCGGCGUGCCUAAUACAUGCAAGUCGAGCGAACGGACGAGAAGCUUGCUUCUCUGAUGUUAGCGGCGGACGGGUGAGUAACACGUGGAUAACCUACCUAUAAGACUGGGAUAACUUCGGGAAACCGGAGCUAAUACCGGAUAAUAUUUUGAACCGCAUGGUUCAAAAGUGAAAGACGGUCUUGCUGUCACUUAUAGAUGGAUCCGCGCUGCAUUAGCUAGUUGGUAAGGUAACGGCUUACCAAGGCAACGAUGCAUAGCCGACCUGAGAGGGUGAUCGGCCACACUGGAACUGAGACACGGUCCAGACUCCUACGGGAGGCAGCAGUAGGGAAUCUUCCGCAAUGGGCGAAAGCCUGACGGAGCAACGCCGCGUGAGUGAUGAAGGUCUUCGGAUCGUAAAACUCUGUUAUUAGGGAAGAACAUAUGUGUAAGUAACUGUGCACAUCUUGACGGUACCUAAUCAGAAAGCCACGGCUAACUACGUGCCAGCAGCCGCGGUAAUACGUAGGUGGCAAGCGUUAUCCGGAAUUAUUGGGCGUAAAGCGCGCGUAGGCGGUUUUUUAAGUCUGAUGUGAAAGCCCACGGCUCAACCGUGGAGGGUCAUUGGAAACUGGAAAACUUGAGUGCAGAAGAGGAAAGUGGAAUUCCAUGUGUAGCGGUGAAAUGCGCAGAGAUAUGGAGGAACACCAGUGGCGAAGGCGACUUUCUGGUCUGUAACUGACGCUGAUGUGCGAAAGCGUGGGGAUCAAACAGGAUUAGAUACCCUGGUAGUCCACGCCGUAAACGAUGAGUGCUAAGUGUUAGGGGGUUUCCGCCCCUUAGUGCUGCAGCUAACGCAUUAAGCACUCCGCCUGGGGAGUACGACCGCAAGGUUGAAACUCAAAGGAAUUGACGGGGACCCGCACAAGCUGUGGAGCAUGUGGGUUAAUUCGAAGCAACGCGAAGAACCUUACCAAAUCUUGACAUCCUUUGACAACUCUAGAGAUAGAGCCUUCCCCUUCGGGGGACAAAGUGACAGGUGGUGCAUGGUUGUCGUCAGCUCGUGUCGUGAGAUGUUGGGUUAAGUCCCGCAACGAGCGCAACCCUUAAGCUUAGUUGCCAUCAUUAAGUUGGGCACUCUAAGUUGACUGCCGGUGACAAACCGGAGGAAGGUGGGGAUGACGUCAAAUCAUCAUGCCCCUUAUGAUUUGGGCUACACACGUGCUACAAUGGACAAUACAAAGGGCAGCGAAACCGCGAGGUCAAGCAAAUCCCAUAAAGUUGUUCUCAGUUCGGAUUGUAGUCUGCAACUCGACUACAUGAAGCUGGAAUCGCUAGUAAUCGUAGAUCAGCAUGCUACGGUGAAUACGUUCCCGGGUCU